rnacentral:tRNA from 1 species
GAGGGAAUAGCUCAGUGGCAGAGCAUGUGCUUAGUAUGCUCGAGGUCCUGGGUUCAAUCCCGCGUCCCUCU